GCGGACGGGUGAGUAACACGUGGGAACGUGCCCUUUGGUUCGGAACAACUCAGGGAAACUUGAGCUAAUACCGGAUAAGCCUUUCGAGGGAAAGAUUUAUCGCCAUUGGAGCGGCCCGCGUAGGAUUAGCUAGUUGGUGGGGUAAAGGCCCACCAAGGCUACGAUCCUUAGCUGGUCUGAGAGGAUGAUCAGCCACAUUGGGACUGAGACACGGCCCAAACUCCUACGGGAGGCAGCAGUGGGGAAUCUUGCGCAAUGGGCGAAAGCCUGACGCAGCCAUGCCGCGUGAAUGAUGAAGGUCUUAGGAUUGUAAAAUUCUUUCACCGGGGACGAUAAUGACGGUACCCGGAGAAGAAGCCCCGGCUAACUUCGUGCCAGCAGCCGCGGUAAUACGAAGGGGGCUAGCGUUGCUCGGAAUUACUGGGCGUAAAGGGAGCGUAGGCGGAUAGUUUAGUCAGAGGUGAAAGCCCAGGGCUCAACCUUGGAAUUGCCUUUGAUACUGGCUAUCUUGAGUACGGAAGAGGUAUGUGGAACUCCGAGUGUAGAGGUGAAAUUCGUAGAUAUUCGGAAGAACACCAGUGGCGAAGGCGACAUACUGGUCCGUUACUGACGCUGAGGCUCGAAAGCGUGGGGAGCAAACAGGAUUAGAUACCCUGGUAGUCCACGCUGUAAACGAUGAGUGCUAGUUGUCGGCCGGCAUGCCGGUCGGUGACGCAGCUAACGCAUUAAGCACUCCGCCUGGGGAGUACGGUCGCAAGAUUAAA
rnacentral:rRNA from 1 species